rnacentral:misc_RNA from 1 species
UUAUUUCCUGCCGCUACUCC